GUAAGGAGGGGGAUGAGGGGUCAUGUCUCUUCUCAGGGAAACAGGAGCCAUUCUGGAGCCCUUCAGCAGGGUCAGGGCCCCUCACCUUCCCCUCCUUUCCCAG
rnacentral:miRNA from 1 species